rnacentral:rRNA from 1 species
AACGAACGCUGGCGGCGUGCCUAACACAUGCAAGUCGUGCGGGAAUAUGGGAGCAAUCCCAUUAGUACAGCGGCGCACGGGUGAGUAACACGUAGGUAAUCUGCCUUCGAGUCUGGGAUAACCUGUCGAAAGACGGGCUAAUACCGGAUAAGACCACGGGAUCUUCGGGUCCUGCGGUAAAAGAUGGCCUCUAUUUAUAAGCUAUCUCUCGAAGAUGAGCCUGCGCGCCAUUAGCUAGUUGGUGAGGUAACGGCUCACCAAGGCAGAGAUGGCUAGCUGGUCUGAGAGGAUGACCAGCCACACUGGGACUGAGACACGGCCCAGACUCCUACGGGAGGCAGCAGUGGGGAAUAUUGCGCAAUGGGCGAAAGCCUGACGCAGCGACGCCGCGUGGGUGAUGAAGGCCUUCGGGUCGUAAAGCCCUGUCGGGAGGGAAGAAACUUCGGCGAGCUAACAUCUCGUCGAACUGACGGUACCUCCGAAGGAAGCACCGGCUAACUCCGUGCCAGCAGCCGCAGUAACAC